CCACGAUCCACUGAGAUUCAG
rnacentral:siRNA from 1 species